GGCGGAGAACCACAGUUUGGUGUGAGGAGUGGACGCCCGCCGCCGCCAGCAGGGUGGGCAGGUCAAAGGUAGACACACCCAAGGCAGCAAGGUGAUCACGAAGCACAACACGGUGGGAGUGGAAGCGGGGGCAGUGUAAGAGGAAGUGUUCGAUGGUUUCCUCGACCGUCCUGCACCAGGGGCAGUAGGGGUCCGGUGAUAGACCAAGGCGAUGCAGGUGUGCUGUGAGUCUUGUGUGGCCCAGACGGAGGCGGGUAAGUGCUACAUCUAGGAUGCGGGACUGUUUCCUGACCCAAGGCUGUGGAGAGGAGUCGCUACGGUAAAGGCCCAUAGAGGUGACUCGGAGUGCGUUGUUGAGUGAAGAGUCCCAGGAUGAGUGGCAGAGGUGAGAUAAGAGCCGUUUGGCAGAAUGAAGCUGGAGGGGUAGGGAGGUAAUGUUUACAUGGGUUAAGGCCAUCUUGGCAGCAGCAUCCACCACCUCAUUCCCCCGGAUGCUGCUGUGGGAAGGCACCCACUUGAAGGUGAUAUCCCACUCAGUGUUCAGGAGAUGGAGGAAGGUGUUCUGGAUGGAGUGGACGAGGGUUGUGGCGGAGGAUGGCUGCCGGGACAGGAGGAGAGAGAGAGAUGAGCGGGAGUUGGUGUAAAUUACCACGAUGGACUUCGGGUGAGAGGUGCGGAGGUAGAUGAGGGCCUGGAGAAGGGCAAAGAGCUCCGUGGUAAGGACAUCUGUGUACUCAGGAAGCCUCCAUGUCUUACAGAUAGCUGUAUUGGCGUCAUAUAUAGCUGCUGCCGAGGAGGGCAGGGAAGCAUCUCUGGAGCCAUCCGUGUAGAUCUUGAGGUGGUGGUUAUAAAUGGACCGGUCCAGCUGUUGGAAGUGGGCUGCUGCUAAUCCACUCACAGAUGGUUUGGGAGGAAGCCCAGGAACGUGGAGAGCAAAAUUAUGGUUGACGUCCAGCCAUGAAGGAAAAGGAGGUGCGGAGGUAACUGAUGUGAUUUACCCAGGAGAGGCGAGGGCCAUCUAGCCGCAGUCUGAGGAGGGUGUGUGAGGUUGAGUAUGGAACAGCCUCUCCACUUAAGUUGACGGGUCAGCGAGUGGGGUAGAAUCAUCAUCAGAAAAUGGGAUGUUCUGAGAUACGAACUUGCCCUCCAUGGAGCGGAAAAAGGACAUGGUACUCUUGGGAGAGGAGCGGAAGGAGAGAGUGGAGCAGUGCAGGUCCCAUGCAUUUCGCUUUGCCUUGAGGAUGGUCUUGGCACAGAUGGCGUCCAGGUGGCGGUAAGCACAGCCAGCCUGGAUAGUGGGGGUCCUACGCCACUGAUUCCAAGCCUGGCGACGGUCCUGUACUGCCUGCGCGCAGGCUGCAUCCCACCAGGGCUUCCCAGGGCAGUGUGGAUGACGACGGGUGAUGAGUGGGAAGGCAGCUGUGCCAGCCUCGGACAGCACCCCAGCAAUGGUUGUUGCGGCUUCAUCCAGGGGAAGAUGUUGGGUGUCCAGUGAGGAGGGAAGCAUAGCCACGUACUGGGGCCAGCCAGAAGAAUUGAGCCUCCAGCGAGGCAUGCAGCCAGGUUGGGACUGUGGGGAGACUUGUGGGAAGGAGGCGAGGAGAGGGAGGUGGUCGCUGCCCAUGUAAGGUCCAGUGCAGAAGGUGGAGUCCUUGAAGGUAGGGUCUCCAAGGAACAGGUCGAGCACCGAGGCGGCACUAGUAUGGGGAUGAAACCUGGUCGCUAGUCUGGGAGGGCUGAGGAGGGAGACAUGUUUCAGAUCUAACAAGGCUUGGAAGAGAGCAUUGCCAGAUGUGUUGUGGUGGUGAGGUGACAGGUCAGGCUCCCAACAUGUAUGAUGGGCGUUAAAGUCCCCCAUUAUAAGCACUGGAGGCUGCAGGGCGAAGUAGUGCAUAAACUCUCGGUGGCCAGCUGUACCCCCAGGAUUGUAGCAGGCUGCCACCGUGACCCAGCCACCACCAAGUCCAACCCUGGCCGCAACAACCUCCAGACGCCCAUCUUGAGACUGAGGGAUAGGGAGAGGCGAUGAGACGAGGGAGUCAUGGAUGGCGAGAAGGACACCUCCUCCACGUCCUUGACCACGAUCUUUGCGGAUGAUGUUGUAUCCCGGAAAGGAGAGAGAAAGAU
rnacentral:lncRNA from 1 species